rnacentral:tRNA from 1 species
AACAAGUUGGCAGAUUAGUGCAAUUGAUUUAGGUUCAUUAUAUGGAUUACCACUUGUUA